GGGGGCCCGCAAGCGGUGGAGCAUGUGGUUUAAUUCGAUGCAACGCGAAGAACCUUACCUACUCUUGACAUCCACGGAAUUUGGCAGAGAUGCCUUAGUGCCUUCGGGAACCGUGAGACAGGUGCUGCAUGGCUGUCGUCAGCUCGUGUUGUGAAAUGUUGGGUUAAGUCCCGCAACGAGCGCAACCCUUAUCCUUUGUUGCCAGCGAUUCGGUCGGGAACUCAAAGGAGACUGCCGGUGAUAAACCGGAGGAAGGUGGGGAUGACGUCAAGUCAUCAUGGCCCUUACGAGUAGGGCUACACACGUGCUACAAUGGCGCAUACAAAGAGAAGCGACCUCGCGAGAGCAAGCGGACCUCACAAAGUGCGUCGUAGUCCGGAUCGGAGUCUGCAACUCGACUCCGUGAAGUCGGAAUCGCUAGUAAUCGUGGAUCAGAAUGCCACGGUGAAUACGUUCCCGGGCCUUGUACACACC
rnacentral:rRNA from 1 species